UAUUGGUCAAUGGUCGGGAGACUGAACCAGCCAAGCCGCGUGAGGGAGGAAGGUACAGAGUAUCGUAAACCUCUUUUGUCAGGGAACAAAGGCGGGGACGUGUCCCCGGAUGAGUGUACCUGAAGAAAACGCAGCGGCUAACUCCGUGCCAUCAGCCGCGGUAAGACGGGGGAUGCGAGCGUUAUCCGGAUUUAUGGGGUUUAAAGGGUGCGAAGGCGGUCUGUUAAGUCAGCGGUCAAAGCCCGGGGCUCAACCCCGGCCCGCCGUUGAAACUGGCAGUCUCGAGUUGGAGAGAAGUAUGCGGAAUGCGCGGUGUAGCGGUGAAAUGCAUAGAUAUCGCGCAGAACUCCGAUUGCGAAGGCAGCAUGCCGGCUCCACACUGACGCUGAGGCACGAAAGCGUGGGUAUCGAACAGG
rnacentral:rRNA from 1 species